rnacentral:rRNA from 1 species
GACGAACGCUGGCGGCGUGCUUAACACAUGCAAGUCGAGCGAGGGCCAGCUGAGGGGUAACCCUCGGCUGGGGACAGCGGCGAACGGGUGCGUAACACGUGGGCAACCUGCCCCUGACACUGGGAUAACCCCGGGAAACCGGAGCUAAUACCGGAUACUCUCGGCCGAUCACAUGGCUGGCCGAGGAAAGGUCCGCCGGGUCAGGGGAUGGGCCCGCGGCCUAUCAGCUUGUUGGUGAGGAACGCCCACCAAGGCGACGACGGGUAGCUGGUCUGAGAGGACGACCAGCCACACUGGAACUGAGAUACGGGUCCAGACUCCUACGGGAGGCAGCAGUGGGGAAUAUUGCACAAUGGGACGAAAGCCUGAUGCAGCGACGCCGCGUGAGGGA